UCGGGAAUCUUGCGCAAUGGGCGAAAGCCUGACGCAGCAACACCGUGUGGGCGACGAAGGCCUUCGGGUCGUAAAGCCCUGUUGUUGGGGACGAAGGACGAAGGGUUAAUAGCCCCUAGUCUGACGGUACCCUUCGAGGAAGCCCCGGCUAACUACGUGCCAGCAGCCGCGGUAAUACGUAGGGGGCGAGCGUUGUCCGGAAUUAUUGGGCGUAAAGAGCGUGUAGGCGGUUCGGUAAGUCUGCCGUGAAAACCUGGGGCUCAACCCCGGGCGUGCGGUGGAUACUGCCGGGCUAGAGGAUGGUAGAGGCGAGUGGAAUUCCCGGUGUAGCGGUGAAAUGCGCAGAUAUCGGGAGGAACACCAGUAGCGAAGGCGGCUCGCUGGGCCAUUCCUGACGCUGAGACGCGAAAGCAUGGGGAGCGAACAGG
rnacentral:rRNA from 1 species